GCUCUCUCUCUCUCUCUCUUUCAAAAUCUACUGCAAAUAACAGACACAGGAAGAGAGUCUGGUAUCAAAUGGUGAGGAUAAUACCUAUGGCCUCCUCAGUUCGACCUUCUCUCUCUUCAUUCAUGCUCUGUAAUACCAGUUCUCGUUCAUCUCUUUCCGUCUUUCCCUUCACUGCUUCUCGCAGAUUCGCUUUUCUCGGCAGUGCUGUUCCACAAUCACAGUUCUUUGGCUUGAAAGCUUCUAAACCUUGGAGAGGAGAGAGUAGCAACCUUGGGGUGGCUGCAGCUGGAAACAUUGGACAAGCAAGCACAAUCGCCUCCCAAGAAAAUUCUCUAGAGUGGGUCAAAAACGAUAAGAGAAGAAUGCUACAUGUUGUUUAUCGUGUUGGGGAUUUGGACAGGACUAUCAAAUUCUACACAGAGUGUCUAGGAAUGAAGCUUCUGCGGAAACGUGACAUACCAGAGGAGAGAUAUACAAAUGCCUUUCUUGGAUAUGGACCAGAAGAUUCUCACUUUGUCAUAGAACUCACUUACAAUUAUGGAGUUGACAAAUAUGAUAUUGGAACUGCAUUUGGACAUUUUGGAAUAGCAGUUGAGGAUGUUGCAAAGACUGUGGAGCUCAUAAAGGCUAAGGGUGGCAAAGUAACUAGAGAACCUGGUCCUGUUAAAGGUGGCAGUACAGUUAUUGCAUUUAUUGAAGAUCCUGAUGGUUAUAAGUUUGAACUUUUGGAAAGGGGUCCUACACCUGAGCCCCUUUGUCAGGUCAUGCUUCGUGUUGGAGAUCUUGAUCGUUCUAUAAAUUUUUAUGAGAAGGCUUUUGGCAUGGAGCUUCUUCGCAAACGGGAUAAUCCAGAG
rnacentral:misc_RNA from 1 species